UACGUAGGGGGCAAGCGUUGUCCGGAAUCAUUGGGCGUAAAGCGCGUGUAGGCGGUCCGGUAAGUCGGCUGUGAAAGUCCAGGGCUCAACCCUGGGAUGCCGGUCGAUACUGCCGGACUAGAGUUCGGAAGAGGCGAGUGGAAUUCCCGGUGUAGUGGUGAAAUGCGUAGAUAUCGGGAGGAACACCAGUGGCGAAGGCGACUACCUGGCCUGUUUCUUGACGCUGAGGCGCGAAAGCUAGGGGAGCAAACGGG
rnacentral:rRNA from 1 species